UUGUUGCAGUUAAAAAGCUCGUAGUUGGAUCUCGGGUACUAGCAUGUGGUACGCUUAACUGCGUUACUACAUGUCUGGUCCUAAUCAACCGGUUGGCCGUUGAUGCCCUUUAUUGGGUGUUUUCGGUAGCCGGUACGUUUACUUUGAGAAAAUUAGAGUGCUUAAAGCAGGCCUUACGCCUGAAUAAUGUUGCAUGGAAUAAUAGAAUAGGACCUCGGUUCUAUUUUGUUGGUUUUGUAGAGCAUUGAGGUAAUGAUUAAUAGGGACAGACGGGGGCAUUCGUAUUGCGGUGUUAGAGGUGAAAUUCUUGGAUCGCCGCAAGACGAACAACUGCGAAAGCAUUUGCCAAGAAUGUUUUCAUUAAUCAAGAACGAAAGUUGGAGGUUCGAAGACGAUUAGAUACCGUCCUAGUUCCAACCAUAAACGAUGCCAACUAGCGAUUAGCUGCUGUUAAUUAAACGACACAGCUAGCAGCUUCCGGGAAACCAAAGUCUUUGGGUUCCGGGGGAAGUAUGGUUGCAAAGCUGAAACUUAAAGGAAUUGACGGAAGGGCACCACCAGGAGUGGAGCCUGCGGCUUAAUUUGACUCAACACGGGAAAUCUCACCCGGCCCGGACACUGUAAGGAUUGAC
rnacentral:rRNA from 1 species